AUUGAACGCUGGCGGCAUGCUUUACACAUGCAAGUCGAACGGCAGCGCGGGCUUCGGCCUGGCGGCGAGUGGCGAACGGGUGAGUAAUGCAUCGGAACGUGCCCAGUAGUGGGGGAUAGCCCAGCGAAAGCCGGAUUAAUACCGCAUACGACCUGAGGGUGAAAGCGGGGGACCGAAAGGCCUCGCGCUAUUGGAGCGGCCGAUGUCGGAUUAGCUAGUUGGUGGGGUAAAGGCUUACCAAGGCGACGAUCCGUAGCUGGUCUGAGAGGACGACCAGCCACACUGGGACUGAGACACGGCCCAGACUCCUACGGGAGGCAGCAGUGGGGAAUGUUGGACAAUGGGGGCAACCCUGAUCCAGCCAUGCCGCGUGCGGGAAGAAGGCCUUCGGGUUGUAAACCGCUUUUGUUCGGGAAGAAAUCCUCUGGGCUAAUACCCCGGGGGGAUGACGGUACCGGAAGAAUAAGCACCGGCUAACUACGUG
rnacentral:rRNA from 1 species